rnacentral:rRNA from 1 species
UACGAAGGGGACUAGCGUUGUUCGGAUUUACUGGGCGUAAAGCGCGCGUAGGCGGAUCGCUAAGUCAGGGGUGAAAUCCCAGGGCUCAACCCUGGAACUGCCUUUGAUACUGACGAUCUGGAGAUCGGGAGAGGUGAGUGGAAUUCCGAGUGUAGAGGUGAAAUUCGUAGAUAUUCGGAGGAACACCAGAAGCGAAGGCGGCUCACUGGCCCGAUACUGACGCUGAGGCGCGAAAGCGUGGGGAGCAAACAGG